CCGAGACCCAGGAGCAACAGCUCGUAGCGUUCAUGGCGAUAUUCAACUUGUUGUUAGUGAUCCUCCAAUAAACCACAAGAAGAAAUAAGUCCCAGGUGUGAAAGCAGAGGAUCACCUGUGGGAUGAGAUGGAAUAAGAGAUGGCAGCCUGAUGAAUCAUGUCAACAUGGAGCAGAGUCCCAGAGGUAGUAGGAGGGAAUCAGGGAGUGAUUUCCGACUUAGUCUCAACAUGCUGUAUAUGCACUGUAUGUAAAUGAGGGGUCUGCUGGGAAGCACCCAAAUACUUCUAAUUAUCAAACAAGCAGAACACAUGUUGAUAAGAUGCUUCUGGUAGAUCCGAAUGCAACAUUUAGAACAAAAGCAGAUAAAUUAUUCUGGGGAAAUGAGCAGGGAUGCUUAUUCCAAUGUCUCGCCUAGAAUGUCUUCAGCCCUGUCCUCUUACAGAGUUUUUUUGUUUAAGUUAAUUAACAUGAGUCAUAUCCAGCAGCAGUUUAUACCAGUGUCUUCAGACCACUUGACUUCUGCACACUUUGUGCUUGGUAGAAGCUCCUUUGGCAGCAAUUACACCUCCAGUGUUUUUGGGCAGGCCUAUACAGGCUCUGCAUACCUGGAAUUUGGCGGUUUAUCACAUUAUUCCUGGCGGAUCCAUUUCAGGCGCUGUCAGACUGGAUGGGAAGUCUGCCAGGUCUCCCUGCAGAUGUUAUAUCAGGUUUAAUCCUGGGCUUCGGCUGAUUUGCUCAAGGACACCAGUGUUUUCUUGACUGUCUGCUUCAGAUCAUUGUUAUGCUGAAAAACUUAGCCCCUGAGUAUUUGGCUCUGUUCAGAACUAGUAUAAACAUCAUCUCUAAGAGAGAGAGAGGGAGAGAGAGGAGGGUUGAGGGAAUGUCCCAAACGCAGCUUUACAAUCAGUCAGAUGAUUGGCCUGUUGUUUUGUGGAGUUAAAAUUUUUGUCUGAUCAAAUCAAAUAAAGUUUUUCCUCGUGCUCUCUGUUGUAUUAAUGUCAU